GAUGAACGCUGGCGGCGUGCCUAAUACAUGCAAGUCGAGCGAACAGACGAGGAGCUUGCUCCUCUGACGUUAGCGGCGGACGGGUGAGUAACACGUGGAUAACCUACCUAUAAGACUGGGAUAACUUCGGGAAACCGGAGCUAAUACCGGAUAAUAUAUUGAACCGCAUGGUUCAAUAGUGAAAGACGGUUUUGCUGUUACUUAUAGAUGCUUCCGCGCUGCAUUAGCUAGUUGGUAAGGUAACGGCUUACCAAGGUAACGAUGCGUAGCCGACCGGAGAGGGUGGUCGGCCACACGGGAGGUGAGCCAGGGUCCAGAGUACUGCGGGAGGGAGCAGUAGGGAAUGUUCCGCAAUGGGCGAAAGCCUUGCGGAGCAACGCCGCGUGAGUGAUGAAGGUGUUCGGAUCGUAAAACUCUGUUAUUAGGGAAGAACAAAUGUGUAAGUAGCUAUACACGUCUUGACGGUACCUAAUCAGAAAGCCACGGCUAACUACGUG
rnacentral:rRNA from 1 species